AGUCAAUAAGUUCAUAGGCAACCUUAUACCUUGAAAGUAUAAUAUUGAAAGUUAAAAUCUUUCGUUGACUU
rnacentral:tRNA from 1 species